GGAAGAACUCCACAAAACAAAAUAUACAUGGAAAAAUUGCUCCCUUGUUUCAAAAUAUUUACAGCUGAACAUCUCCAGGCCACCCAAAGUGUGGCGGUCAGUGGUCCAUGCAGAGCCGGCUGCAUGGUGAGAGGGCCGGUGGGGAGGGCCGUGGGGUGCGGCGCGGGGGUCCUGGAAGAGGGAGCCGGCUUCUCGCCUGCCCUCCCGGUUAGUGUUGGCUCCGGGGACGUGGCCAUGAGAACGGUUUCCACUGAAGCCGUCCUCCACGGAAACCACAGAGACUAGGUAACCUUUCCUCUGUCGAGGUAGAAAAAAGCACGCUUGUGUGAGCGUGUAGGGGAAGGGCAGGGAAUGUGGACAGAGAGGGAGGGGUGGUGUAAUAACUCUUUAGUCAUAAGACUUGCCAGUUGGUAGUUACUAGUAUUCCAGACACUUCCUAAUGCCAGACAAAUGCCCCAAGCCUCGGCAUGUCUGGCUCGGAGAUCUAUUCAUCCGAUAGCAGCCCGGCUCUUGCGGGAGACAGAUCUCUGGGCAGCCGCGCUCCGCCGCUAAUCAAACACAACAUUGUUCUCCGCGGGAAGAAUGGGAAGGUUUGUUUCAGAGUCACAACUUUUUUUUUUUUUUCUUUUCUAAGAGGCACCCUAGUUGUUUUAACAAGUUGCUACAAAACUUGGUCUUCCUGAGGUGAGGCUGUGGCGCACAGUGCCUGCACUGUACCAAAAUCCAGGGAGGGAGGGGUCAGAGUUAGUCAUUAAAAAGGGAAGAAAAAAAAAAAGCCCCAGGCACUUCAUGCCUGGAAAUGAUGUAACAGGCAGCCACUCCUCUGUUAGAACUACAACCAAACAAUGCUCAGGCAGUCCACGGCAGCUGCUCUCCAAAUGUCAGCGCCAGCCCCGUCCAAAGAGCUUGAAAGGCAGCAAGCUGGAGGGUUUUGUGCUGUACCUUUCUCGCCCACAUUUUCCCCAAGCCCUCCCAGGAACCUGGCAACAGCCAGCUUCAUCUCCCCCUGCCACCUCCAUACUUCGCCUCCCCACCCCCCGCCCGCCAAGGAGCUGAGAAAAAGGCACUGCCUCCUGGCAGCCCUGCUCUCGAGUGCCGCCUUGUGGCUAAGCUCAGAAUAUCACCGAAGUACCCUGAAACCCGCGGCUCAGCUCGAGGCUGAAUGCCAUCUGCACAAAAGAGCUCCUGUUGACAUCUCAUUUACAAUCUCCCCCAGGACACAGACAAGACCAUUUCAAUAAACCCGGCUCAGAAACACCUAUUGUUCGAAAUCUUCAACUAGCCACAGGCUACCACCACUCCCUAUUGUUUUGUAAAAGAAAAGAUUUAGAAGGAGAAAGAUUGCCACUGUGGAAGCUCUGAAAAGAGGAAGGAAAAAAGUCCUUUGACCCGAUGCUGUCAGAGAGCGUGCAUGAAGAAUAAAGUUAAUGGAUUUCCAUUUUUAUAAGAAGUGCCUAAGAAAUGCCUGUUAAGUUUCUGAACUGGGGAUGGGGAAUUCUAAAUUCAACGCCAACUUUGUGUGUAUAAGAAGUGAACCCCUGCCAACGGGUUUGCUAAAUGAAAUGCCAUAGGCUAUACUUACCCUAUUCUCAGCCCUACAAAAGCCCUGUUAGCACCAAUAGCAGAGCACCAGGUGAGUCUUUGAUCUGGGCUGUUGCCCUGGGAAUUAGAGCUGGACUGUCCUUUCCAAGUAGAAUUUCCAGGCUCAGAGCCCACUCCUCCCUGUUAAUGAUUUCUUUCUUUUUCAUCGCCCCGUUUUGCUCCCUCUUUUAGUAAAAGUUGAACACUCUCUGGAGUUAUGUAAUGUCCUUAGAUAGUUGUUCUUCACUAUGCUUCAAAUUCAGGGAUAUAUUUGUGUUUACCCCCCAAAAGGGGCCCUCUUCAUCUGCUCCUUAUCUUGACCCUUGUAAUACGUCUUGCAGUUAACCUUACCUAUCUCUGCAAAUGAUCCCUUUAUCUACCCAGAGCUCAAGCCCACACUGGGCAUUAUCUCUAAUUCCUUUGAGUCCAAUCCCCUCUUAAAUCCGUCUGGAAUCCUUCUACCUCCUGCAAACCAGCUUUCUGCUUUCCUAGAUGCCAUUACAAUACUCCCCUCCUGAGGAUCACAGCAACUUCCUAACUCACGGUUUCUCUAACCACCAGUUGUGACUUAUUCAGGGGUCAUGAAACCAAUUGAGGCGGGUCAUGCAGUUUCACCACUUAAAAAAAUGAAGUAGAUUAGAAAAUGUGAGAUUGCAUCAGACAAAGGAAAAAGUACUGUUUUGUGAGAUUUGUUUCAGUUUGUGUUUGCAUCUGGAUCUCUGUACGUUCUGGGCAACAGGUAAAAACGGAUUUUGUUUGCCACGAUAUUCUGAGAAAUACUUUUCUGAUUGCUCUCACUGGGUCUGCCUGAUGCCUGCUUCAGGAGCCUGCUUCACUGCUGGAUACACUUGGAGCAAGGGUUGAAGACACUGAACAGAAGCUGUCACUCCAAACGACAGGUCUGCCCACAGGAGAGUCUCGGGCUUUGGAGAGUCUGAGUAACUGGGCUCCUGCUCACUUUUCAGAAGGGCCUUGGAACUCUGCAUCCUGACUGCUUCUACUCUUCAUUAUUAAAACCAUCAAGUUCACGGGAAAGUUAAAGGGACUUAGAAAAUAAAACAGCCUCCAUAAUGGAUUCCUGCCCAGGCAAGUCCAGACAUUUAAAGGAAUAGUCUUGCUGUUGUUUGCUAUCAUAUGGAGAGAUGUUAAGCUUUCCUUUUUAUAUUGGAAAUGAAAAAGUAAAGAAAUCUGCACAUGCCGACCAUCCCUGAUAGUGGUCAUUUCACGAAAGCCCAUGAGACAGACACAACCUUCCUGAAGUUGCCAGCAAGCACAUCCUUAUCCCUUCCUUAGUGUUGGGGCCCUGCCACCGCUCUGCAUCUUGCUGGGAAGAGAGGUGGCCCCAGUUCUUGCAACUCCUCCCCCAAAAUCCCGUGCCUGAACCGCACUAAAAGAAGUCCCUGUUUUUUCGCUGGGUGCCUUAAACUUACUUAUGUUAUGGAGUCUGGGUCUAGAGAACCUGCUCCAUUAAGUGGAAGGGCUACAGAAAUUCAC
rnacentral:lncRNA from 1 species